rnacentral:rRNA from 1 species
GACGAACGCUGGCGGCGUGCUUAACACAUGCAAGUCGAACGGAAAGGCCUUUUCGGAGGUACUCGAGUGGCGAACGGGUGAGUAACACGUGGGUGAUCUGCCCUGCACUCUGGGAUAAGCCUGGGAAACUGGGUCUAAUACCGGAUAGGACCGCACUUUAGUGUGUGUGGUGGAAAGUUUUUUCGGUGUAGGAUGAGCCCGCGGCCUAUCAGCUUGUUGGUGGGGUAAUGGCCUACCAAGGCGGCAACGGGUAGCCGGACUGAGAGGUUGGUCGGCCACAUUGGGACUGAGAUACGGCCCAGACUCCUACGGGAGGCAGCAGUGGGGAAUAUUGCACAAUGGGCGCAAGCCUGAUGCAGCGACGCCGCGUGGGGGAUGACGGCCUUCGGGUUGUAAACUCCUUUCGCCAGGGACGAAGCGUUUUGUGACGGUACCUGGAGAAGAAGCACCGGCUAACUACGUG